CCCAGACGGGUUGAAGCAUGACCGUAAGGACAUGUGGACAGUAUGGGAGUGAGAAUGUUGGCAUGAGUAGCGAGAUGUGGGUGAGAAUCCCACAGGCCGUAAACCCAAGGUUGCCAGGGGAAGGUUCGUCCGCCCUGGGUUAGUCGGGACCUAAGCUGAGGCCGAAAGGCGUAGGUGAUGGACAACAGGUUGAUAUUCCUGUACUACCGAUAACCGUUUGAGAGA
rnacentral:rRNA from 1 species